AGGAAUAAGCAUCGGCUAACUCCGUGCCAGCAGCCGCGGUAAUACGGAGGGUGCGAGCGUUAAUCGGAAUUACUGGGCGUAAAGCGCAUGCAGGUGGUUUGUUAAGUCAGAUGUGAAAGCCCGGGGCUCAACCUCGGAAUUGCAUUUGAAACUGGCAGACUAGAGUACUGUAGAGGGGGGUAGAAUUUCAGGUGUAGCGGUGAAAUGCGUAGAGAUCUGAAGGAAUA
rnacentral:rRNA from 1 species